UACGUAGGGUGCAAGCGUUAAUCGGAAUUACUGGGCGUAAAGCGUGCGCAGGCGGCUUUGCAAGACAGAUGUGAAAUACCCGGGCUUAACCUGGGAACUGCAUUUGUAACUGCAUGGCUGGAGUGCGGCAGAGGGGGAUGGAAUUCCGCGUGUAGCAGUGAAAUGCGUAGAUAUGCGGAGGAACACCGAUGGCGAAGGCAAUCCCCUGGGCCUGCACUGACGCUCAUGCACGAAAGCGUGGGGAGCAAACAGG
rnacentral:rRNA from 1 species